UACGUAGGGUGCAAGCGUUAAUCGGAAUUACUGGGCGUAAAGCGUGCGCAGGCGGUUAUGUAAGACAGAUGUGAAAUCCCCGGGCUCAACCUGGGAACUGCAUUUGUGACUGCAUAGCUAGAGUACGGUAGAGGGGGAUGGAAUUCCGCGUGUAGCAGUGAAAUGCGUAGAUAUGCGGAGGAACACCGAUGGCGAAGGCAAUCCCCUGGACCUGUACUGACGCUCAUGCACGAAAGCGUGGGGAGCAAAACGG
rnacentral:rRNA from 1 species